ensembl:rRNA 5S_rRNA 5S ribosomal RNA
GCUUACGGCCAUACCAACCUGGCUAUGCCUUAUCUCGUCUGAUCUCGGAAGCUAAGCAGGUUUGGGCCUGGUUAGUACUUGGAUGGGAGACCGCCUGGGAACACCAGGUGCUGUAAGCU